UUAAAGGACACUCACAAAUUAAAAAUGGCUGCCGCUGCCAAUGGCGAGCGGAACAAAUAUAAAAAAAAAAUGAUAGAAAUUUAUGCAAAUUAUGCGCACAGCAAGCCGGAGAAUCCUUUUUGGAAGACCAGCAACAGCAACAGCAGAAAUUUCAUUAAAAACUGCGCCGAAAAUCUUUGAUAAAAAUUAAAAACUUUUGCCUUCAGACGCGCUGAAGGACAAUUGACAGCAAAUCUAAGGAAAAUGGUGGGAAAAGCAACAAAAAAAAAUAUAUAUAUGAAAUCUUGCUACAAGAAAUUAAAACAAGCGAAAAAUAAUAUGAAAAUAUUAUGACAGCAAGCUUGGGAGUCACAGGGAGUCUGAGGUCUGAGAUCUGGGGUCUGGGGUUUGGGCUCUGGAAUUAUUUAAAUAUGCCCAAGCUGCUUUCAUAUCAACAUUUUCUACAGUUUUUUGUUUUUUUGUCAUCUACGUCAUUUCUGUUUUUCAGCAAGAAAUAUUAAAAAAUUCGAGUGCCCACUGAAUUGAGUUACAGUUACAUCAAGAGGACGCGUGAAGGGGGGACGCUGGGAGCGCAGAGAGGGCCAAGACUAGGGAAACAGUUUUGACAUUUAAUUGCUAGCUCUUGCGCAUAGAGCUUGGCCAGAGCCUCACUAAAUGUCCAGCGAUCCGUCGUCCACCACUUUGCUCCAGGAAAACCCGUUUCAAUGGACUCGCGGCUGCCCUCAGUCCGCUAGCCGCAGCCUCGCGGCUGGAGGAGCUGAAGAUG